UCCUACGGGAGGCAGCAGUAGGGAAUCUUCCGCAAUGGACGAAAGUCUGACGGAGCAACGCCGCGUGAGCGAAGAAGGUCUUCGGAUUGUAAAGCUCUGUUGUUAGGGAAGAACAAGUACCGUUCGAAUAGGGCGGUACCGUGACGGUACCUAACGAGAAAGCCACGGCUAACUACGUGCCAGCAGCCGCGGUAAUACGUAGGUGGCAAGCGUUGUCCGGAAUUAUUGGGCGUAAAGCGAGCGCAGGCGGUUAGAUAAGUCUGAAGUUAAAGGCUGUGGCUUAACCAUAGUACGCUUUGGAAACUGUUUAACUUGAGCGCAAGAGGGGAGAGUGGAAUUCCAUGUGUAGCGGUGAAAUGCGUAGAUAUAUGGAGGAACACCGGUGGCGAAAGCGGCUCUCUGGCUUGUAACUGACGCUGAGGCUCGAAAGCGUGGGGAGCAAACAGGAUUAGAUACCCUGGUAGUCCACGCCGUAAACGAUGAGUGCUAGGUGUUAGACCCUUUCCGGGGUUUAGUGCCGUAGCUAACGCAUUAAGCACUCCGCCUGGGGAGUACGACCGCAAGGUUGAAACUCAAAUGAAUUGACGG
rnacentral:rRNA from 1 species